CAGUCGCCGCGGUAACACGGAGGGGGCUAGCGUUGUUCGGAAUUACUGGGCGUAAAGCGCACGUAGGCGGCUUGGUAAGUUAGAGGUGAAAGCCUGGAGCUCAACUCCAGAAUUGCCUUUAAGACUGCCGAGCUAGCAGGUGAGAGAGGUAAGUGGAAUUCCGAGUGUAGAGGUGAAAUUCGUAGAUAUUCGGAAGAACACCAGUGGCGAAGGCGACUAUCUGGGCCAACACUGACACUGAGGCACGAAAGCGUGGGGAGCAAACAGGAUUAGAUACCCCAGUAGUCCCUGUCUCUUAUAC
rnacentral:rRNA from 1 species